rnacentral:lncRNA from 1 species
UUAGUCAUGGUGGCUUGCUGCAUCAUUGGACUUAAACCCAUUCGCAUAGUUUCAUGAAAAGGGAAUGAUCCAGCCCAUCAAUUUAGAACUCCAACAUCCCAGAUAUACGAAUGGGAAAGCAACAACAGAACACACAGAGUUAACUGGUUUCAUAAAUUUGAAAACUGUCCCUCCAACCUUCUCCUUAGAGUUAGGUGACAGAAACUGAGGUCUCUUUCAGAAGUCAUAGCCCACAGUACCUCAUUUCUGUAUGAUUCCAGGUCAUUCUUCUUUUUUAUCCUUCAACAUACUAACAUGAAGCCUCCAAGACAUUUAUUAGAUAUUGUUAAUUUAGUUGUUAACUAUAUAAAUCCUCCGAGUUCCUACUGGGGUAAAAAUGUAUGUUUUAAAAAGACAGAGUUUUCUUUUUUCUCCUUGUAAAUCUAUUCUUUUUUUUUUUCCCACUGUACAGCAAUGGGAUCCAGUUAUCCUUACAUGUAUACAUUCCAAUUACAGUUUUUCCCCCACCCUUUCUUCUGUUGCAACAUGAGUAUCUAGACAAAGUUCUCAAUGCUACUCAGCAGGAUCUCCUUGUAAAUCUAUUCUAAGUUGUGUCUGAUAAACCCAAGCUCCCGAUCCCUCCCACUCCCUCCCCCUCCCACCAGGCAACCACAAGUCUUUUCUCCAAGUCCAUGAUUUUCUUUUCUGAGGAGAUGUUCAUUUGUGCUGGAUAUUAGAUUCCAGUUAUAAGUGAUAUCCUAUGGUAUUUGUCUUUGUAAAAAGACAGAGUUCUCAAAUCAUACUAUUUUGUAUAAAAACAGCAUCUACCAUUUAUGUAGCAAACAUCCAUCUAUGUUUUUCAUUUAGUUUUCACAGGAUUGCUAUGAAAUAGGUAUUCUGAUAAUCACCAUUUCACAGAAAAGUAUAGUGACGUUGAGAAAUGGUAAAGACUUGGCUUGGAACAAAGAACCAGCAUAUAACAAAACUGGGAUUUGAAACUAGAUCUAGGCGUUCCCGUUGUGGCUCCCGUUAUGAACCAAACUAGUAGUAUCCAUAAGGAUGCAGCCCCGCUCAGGGGGUUAAGGAUCCCAAAUUGCCAGGAGCUGUAGUGUAGGCUGCAGGUGCGACUCAGAUCCCUCAUUGCUGUGGCUGGGACAUAGGCUGGCAGCUGCAGCUCUAAUUCAUCUCCUAGCCUGGGAACGUCCAUAUGCCACAGGUGCAGCCCUAAAAAGAACGAGAGGAAGCUGCAUCCAAGCUUCUCACAGGUAAGAUUCACCAACUACAGCCGGCUGGUCACAUAUCCAAGACAUGCUCCAAUUAUGGAUGGUUGCAUGGUCAUUCGGUAGAAAAACUGGAUCCAAAUUUGUUAAGACAGCCCAGAAGUCCCUUCACAGAAACAAAACCCUUGAGAAUCCAAUCUGGGUUAUGCCCAUUCCUCUGGUUAAGGAAACACCAGAGGUACCAAGUGAAGGAGGAAAAAUCAUCCCAGCUUUGAGCCUCCCCACCUGCCAAAGGAGGGAUCUUGGUGAUACUGAGACACAUUUCAUUGUAUCCUUUUGCCAAUGAAAGUUUAAUUACAAAUAUUUUUUCUUCAAAGGAAGGAAGCCUGUGGUGCAUGGCAGGGUCCCUUUGCCUUUGGUUUACUUCGUGCUCUUAAAAUGCUUAUACUGUCUGGUACAUAAAAUAAGAGGGGGUGAGUUAGGGGUGUGUCAGGCGUAAGAAACGUCCGUGUCACCACCAUGUCACUGGCAUCUGCUCACCGAUGUUACAAACACCACAGUUCCGCCUGGAGGUCCAGCCUCACUGUUACCCGUGGUGAUAACUGACAAUAAACAAAGGUGAUUCUACUUUUACUGAUUAAAGAAGGAAACAUUUUUCUAAAUGCGGUAUAACCAAUGUAAUCAUUGCUGUCACUCCAUUCUUGCUGUCUUUCAGAGCUUGCAGUUUCUCUGGCCUUUUGUCACAGGCUCAUCCAGCACUAGGAGAUCCUGCCCACACAGACCUUGGAGCAAAUCAUCUUCUGUUUGGAGGUCCCUGGAAUAGCCUUUUGUGUCAGAUGCCCAGACAUGGUGCUGCUUCUUUAAAGCAACUUCUUUCAGGAUUUUUAUCUAACCAGUUUUCACAGUAUGGCCAACUCAGCUCAACUGAAUGACCAACCCAGCUCAGCUUUAUCAUCAGGACACGUGUAACAUGCACUUCACAAGAUAUAUGAAUGUCUGCAUGGCAACAGCAAGAUUGGAGGAGCUGAACUGCGUGAGCAUCCGGUAUUGAUUAUCCAUGUAACAACACUUGGGUGUUGAAACUUCAAAGACACCCCCCCUCCCCCGCCACCACCGGCCCUGCUCUCUCUUGGGUUCGCCACGUGGCUUCAAAAUUCUAUCUGAGCUCCUGCCGCCUGAGACCCACACAUGACAUUUCUAAAGGAAACUUUUCUGAUACUCUGCCGCCAUUCAAAGCUUUGGGCAUUUUCACCCUGAGGAAUUUCAUCUUGGGAGACAUGGGGCAGUGGAAUAUUGAUGAAGUACAGAAAGAUGCCUUCAUAGAAAUGAGUUUCCUUCUGACCUAUUCCAGAGGCACAUCAAAAGGUAAGGCCGGGCACCUCUCUGGACACAGUCAACUUUGAACCAUUUCUCAUAGUAUCAGGGAAACUUCUUAUGUUUCUUACAUCAUUUCAUAUUUAUGAAUCAUAACUUUGAUUUUGGAGGCCCCCUCAUUUUUCCAAACACUCUUUCCAAAAGGCACCAAACAAAAGCUUCCAAAGUCAUCUAGUUGCAUGAUUAUAAAACCAAUUUCAAUCCACAGUAGUCACGCACUUACAAGCAAGCCAAAAUCAGGCCUCACUACUAUGAAAGGCAGUUAUAAAAUAUUUAUUUGACAAGUACAUACAGUCUGGACAUUUUCGGCAAAAGGGCAUCUUACUAUUUUGCACAAAAAUGAAAAAGUUACAUGAUAGCUCAAUGUUGGUUUGCAGGAUUUAAAAUCAAAACAUAAGCGCCACAUCAUGAACAUAUAAAAUAUUUAAUGCAUGGUGCUCUUUUGGAACUAAGAUCACAACUAGAACCAAAAAGCCUGUUACUUCCUUCUUAGCAACACAUUAUGCAAAACAAUGACAGCAAACCCAA